GACGAACGCUGGCGGCGUGCUUAACACAUGCAAGUCGAACGGAAAGGCCCUGCUUUUGUGGGGUGCUCGAGUGGCGAACGGGUGAGUAACACGUGAGUAACCUGCCCUUGACUUUGGGAUAACUUCAGGAAACUGGGGCAAAUACCGGAUAGGAGCUCCUGCUGCAUGGUGGGGGUUGGAAAGUUUCGGCGGUUUGGGAUGGACUCGCGGCUUAUGAGCUUGUUGGUGGGGUAGUGGCUUACCAAGGCUUUGACGGGUAGCCGGCCUGAGAGGGUGACCGGCCACAUUGGGACUGAGGUACGGCCCAGACUCCUACGGGAGGCAGCAGUGGGGAAUAUUGCACAAUGGGCGGAAGCCUGAUGCAGCAACGCCGCGUUCGGGAUGACGGCCUUCGGGUUGUAAACCGCUUUCGCCUGUGACGAAGCGUGAGUGACGGUAAUGGGUAAAGAAGCACCGGCUAACUACGUG
rnacentral:rRNA from 1 species